rnacentral:rRNA from 1 species
GUCGAGGGGCAGCGCGGAGGUAGCAAUACUUCUGGCGGCGACCGGCGGAAGGGUGCGUAACGCGUGAGCAACAUGCCCGUAUCAGGGAGAUAAGCAUUGGAAACGGUGUCUAAUAUCCCAUAACAACAGUAUUCACAUGGAUGCAGUUUAAAAGAUACGUCGGAUACGGAUUGGCUCGCGUGACAUUAGCUAGUCGGCGGGGUAACGGCCCACCGAGGCGACGAUGUCUAGGGGUUCUGAGAGGAAGGUCCCCCACACUGGAACUGAGACACGGUCCAGACUCCUACGGGAGGCAGCAGUGAGGAAUAUUGGUCAAUGGGCGGAAGCCUGAACCAGCCAUGCCGCGUGAAGGAAUAAGGCCCUAUGGGUCGUAAACUUCUUUUGUGGUGGAGCAAUAAGUGUUACGUGUAACGCGAUGAGAGUACAUCACGAAUAAGCAUCGGCUAACUCCGUGCCAGCAGCCGCGGUAAUACGGAGGAUGCAAGCGUUAUCCGGAUUUAUUGGGUUUAAAGGGUGCGUAGGCUGUAGUGCAAGUCAGGGGUGAAAGCCCGGGGCCCAACCCCGGAACUGCCCUUGAUACUGUACCACUGGAGUUCGGAUGCCGUGGGAGGAAUGAGUAGUGUAGCGGUGAAAUGCAUAGAUAUUACUCAGAACACCGAUUGCGAAGGCAUCUCACGAAUCCGACACUGACGCUGAGGCACGAAAGCGUGGGGAUCAAACAGGAUUAGAUACCCUGGUAGUCCACGCAGUAAACGAUGAUGACUAACUGUCGGCGAUAAACAGUCGGUGGCCAAGCGAAAGCGAUAAGUCAUCCACCUGGGGAGUACGUUCGCAAGAAUGAAACUCAAAGGAAUUGACGGGGGCCCGCACAAGCGGAGGAACAUGUGGUUUAAUUCGAUGAUACGCGAGGAACCUUACCCGGGCUCGAACGGCUAGUGAACGGCUCAGAGAUGAGAAGUCUC